AAUAAUUACGGCGCGGCGGUUGCGAAACGAUGACGUUCGGACGACACGACGCACGCACGGCGUAAUUUACAGCAGGCCACUUACCGACGCGUUUACAAUCGCGUGUUCGAACGGUAUACGCGGCGCGGCGGUAAAGCGCAGUGCGGAAUUCCAUUUUCGACAAGUACUUAUCCACCAAAUCCGGGCUUAUCAUCACGACGAAUUCUACCAAUACCGGAGCGGCCCGCGGAGAUAUUAUGAACAUUGUUGCGAUAUCGCGGAAAGAACGUAGGCACCUACGUAUUGACGUAAUUGACAAGCCGUUGUUUUCCGUCGGUCUCCGGGGGCGAAUCGACUGUCCGCUCUCGGUUUACAAACGGCUACUUACAUUUAAAGAACUUGUGCCGGCGGCGGUUGUGCCACCGUAGUAGGCGGAAAAUCCGGGAGUCGGGAUGCAUAGUUGUACACGGCGAUAAACCAUCGCCAACGCAAAUCGAUUCGGAGCAAAAUUCGGUUGCGCGUGUUUUCAAAGGCCGUACUGUUAAGUUACGUAAGAAACUUGAACAUUAUUUAAACGUAGUUGCAAAUGAUGCUCCGCUAGCCUCCUCUAACCCGAACCUUAACAAAUUCUAAGACAAUAUUGUACGAUAUGAGAUACCAGCAGUAGUGGCGGUUUUACGGUAGGGGGUCCAAGGUGUCUUACUCCUCCAGACUCCGAGUUUAGACUACGGGAAGUAGAUUUUGAAUUAACAUCAAAGGACCCAUCCUCCCAAGGAAAAAGUUCGAAAAUCGUCACAGGAUACCAGUCACAAUUUAAUCAAAUAAUAUGUACUAGUUAUUUUUAGAUUCAGAGUGUAUGCA